rnacentral:rRNA from 1 species
CCCUUAGAUGUUCUGGGCCGCACGCGCGCUACACUGACGGAGCCAACGAGUAUUUUCCUUGUCCGGAAGGACUGGGUAAUCUUGUGAAACUUUGUCGUGCUGGGGAUAGAGCAUUGUAAUUAUUGCUCUUCAACGAGGAAUUCCUAGUAAGCGUGAGUCAUCAGCUCGCGUUGAUUACGUCCCUGCCCUUUGUACACACCGCCCGUCGCUACUACCGAUUGAAUGGCUUAGUGAGCCUUUGGGGUUGGCAGCCAACACCGGCAACGGUAGCUGGCCGCCGAAAACUUAUGCAAACUUGGUCAUUUAGAGGAAGUAAAAGUCGUAACA